rnacentral:rRNA from 1 species
UGGGAACAUACCCCUCGGUUCGGAAUAGCUCAGGGAAACUUGAAUUAAUACCGAAUACGGUCGAGAGGCGAAAGAUUUAUCGCCGAGGGAUUGGCCCGCGUCCGAUUAGCUAGUUGGUGAGGUAAUGGCCCACCAAGGCGACGAUCGGUAGCUGGUCUGAGAGGAUGAUCAGCCACAUUGGGACUGAGACACGGCCCAAACUCCUACGGGAGGCAGCAGUGGGGAAUAUUGGACAAUGGGCGCAAGCCUGAUCCAGCCAUGCCGCGUGAGUGAUGACGGCCUUAGGGUUGUAAAGCUCUUUCGUCAGGGACGAUAAUGACGGUACCUGAAGAAGAAGCCCCGGCUAACUUCGUGCCAGCAGCCGCGGUAAUACGAAGGGGGCUAGCGUUGUUCGGAAUUACUGGGCGUAAAGCGCGUGUAGGCGGGUCUUUAAGUCAGGGGUGAAAUGCCAGGGCUCAACCUUGGAACUGCCUUUGAUACUGGAGAUCUUGAGUCCGGGAGAGGUGAGUGGAACUGCGAGUGUAGAGGUGAAAUUCGUAGAUAUUCGCAAGAACACCAGUGGCG